UGAGUGGCCUUCAUCAAUGUGAACAGA
rnacentral:piRNA from 1 species